rnacentral:rRNA from 1 species
AUCUACAGGCUUAACACAUGCAAGUCGAGGGGCAGCAUUUCAGUUUGCUUGCAAACUGGAGAUGGCGACCGGCGCACGGGUGAGUAACACGUAUCCAACCUGCCGAUAACUCGGGGAUAGCCUUUCGAAAGAAAGAUUAAUACCCGAUGGCAUAAUUAGACCGCAUGGUCUUAUUAUUAAAGAAUUUCGGUUAUCGAUGGGGAUGCGUUCCAUUAGGCAGUUGGUGAGGUAACGGCUCACCAAACCUUCGAUGGAUAGGGGUUCUGAGAGGAAGGUCCCCCACAUUGGAACUGAGACACGGUCCAAACUCCUACGGGAGGCAGCAGUGAGGAAUAUUGGUCAAUGGACGAGAGUCUGAACCAGCCAAGUAGCGUGAAGGAUGACUGCCCUAUGGGUUGUAAACUUCUUUUAUAUGGGAAUAAAGUUUUCCACGUGUGGAAUUUUGUAUGUACCAUAUGAAUAAGGAUCGGCUAACUCCGUGCCAGCAGCCGCGGUAAUACGGAGGAUCCGAGCGUUAUCCGGAUUUAUUGGGUUUAAAGGGAGCGUAGGUGGACAGUUAAGUCAGUUGUGAAAGUUUGCGGCUCAACCGUAAAAUUGCAGUUGAUACUGGCUGUCUUGAGUACAGUAGAGGUGGGCGGAAUUCGUGGUGUAGCGGUGAAAUGCUUAGAUAUCACGAAGAACUCCGAUUGCGAAGGCAGCUCACUGGACUGCAACUGACACUGAUGCUCGAAAGUGUGGGUAUCAAACAGGAUUAGAUACCCUGGUAGUCCACACAGUAAACGAUGAAUACUCGCUGUUUGCGAUAUACAGUAAGCGGCCAAGCGAAAGCAUUAAGUAUUCCACCUGGGGAGUACGCCGGCAACGGUGAAACUCAAAGGGAAUUGACGGGGGCCCGCACAAGCGGAGGAACAUGUGGCUUAAUUCGAUGAUACGCGAGGACCCUUACCCGGGCUUAAAUUGCAUUUGAAUAAUCUGGAAACAGGUUAGCCGCAAGGCAAAUGUGAAGGUGCUGCAUGGUUGUCGUCAGCUCGUGCCGUGAGGUGUCGGCUUAAGUGCCAUAACGAGCGCAACCCUUAUCUUUAGUUACUAACAGGUCAUGCUGAGGACUCUAGAGAGACUGCCGUCGUAAGAUGUGAGGAAGGUGGGGAUGACGUCAAAUCAGCACGGCCCUUACGUCCGGGGCCACACACGUGUUACAAUGGGGGGUACAGAAGGCAGCUACCUGGUGACAGGAUGCUAAUCCCAAAAGCCUCUCUCAGUUCGGAUCGAAGUCUGCAACCCGACUUCGUGAAGCUGGAUUCGCUAGUAAUCGCGCAUCAGCCAUGGCGCGGUGAAUACGUUCCCGGGCCUUGUACACACCGCCCGUCAAGCCAUGAAAGCCGGGGGUACCUGAAGUGCGUAACCGCAAGGAGCGUCCUAGGGUAAAACUGGUAA